AUCAUCAUGAUGGGUGGAUAUAAGACUUUGGGCCAAUACUCAGGGGACGGUAAGUUCUAAUUCUGCAUUAGCUUUGAUGACGUCUUCUGCUAAGAGGUGAGUUCCACUCCUGCCACGUGAACAGCAGACAGUAGAAUGACUUUGGCAAACAACUAAACAAUGGUAGCUGAAAGUCUUUGGGCUAAUCCUCAGCGGACGGUGAGUUCUAAUUCUGCUUUGAUUUCCUGAAGUCUUCUCCGAAAAGGUGAGUUCCACUCCUGCCAUGCAAACAACAGACCGUUGAAUGACUUUGGCGAACUACUAAAAGAUGAUGUCUCUCUUCCUGUAUUAGGCAUGGUACGUUCUCCUUCUGGAAUCCUCAUGACGGAUGGCUGAAAGACUUUGGGCCAAUACUCAGCGGACGUCAUGUUGAAUUCUACUCCAGCAAUAUUCACAAAAGUUCGCUGAAUGACUUUGGGCCAAUAAGAAGGAUAUUAUCUAGGAAGGAGGGAAAAGGAAACCACUUCUGAAAAAUUUGCCAAAAAAUGGAGACGGAUUUCUUCAGGCAAUCUUUGAGAAAUUGAACCGUCUGAAUAGAAGAAAAAAGAGCAAUGGAUGAUGAAGAUGGAAGGGACCCUCCUCAGCGUACUACGUCCUGGCUGAGACCACAGUGUGGCCGGACAGAGGCCCCUUCGGCCCCCAGGAAGACCAACGACGCCCAUUGCGUGAUCCGAAGUCAUCGACUGAAGUGGGACCACAGCCAUUUCACCGGGCAAUUGGCUGAAUGAACCACACCCACUUGAUGCUGCCCCGUAUCAUCCGACAAGUGUGGAGCAGUGGUGGGAUUCCAAUAAUUCAACAACCACUUGUCUACCCUAAUGACCGGCUGGGUGGGCGUGGCCAUGGUGGGUGUGGCCAGGGGGUAUUAUUGGCAGCACUCAGCCUCCUGCACCCCCCUGGGAGGAAAAACGGGCUGCGGGGGGAGGGGGAAUACGCCACCACCCUGUGCCCCAUUUUGGGCCUAGUUGGCCUCCCUGGUGCCUCUUGGGAGCAAAAACAGGCCUUAGGGUGGCCGCACCGCACCCCCCGCCAUGUUUUGGGCCUAGUAGGCCUCCCUGCAGCCUCCCGGGAGUGAAAAUGGGCCUUAGGGUGGCCACGCCGCAUCCCCCGCCCUGUUUUGGGCCUAGUAGGCCUCCCUGCAGCCUCCUGGAAGUGAAAAUGGGCCUUAGGGUGGCUGUACUGCACACCCCGCCCUGUUUUGGGCCUAGUAGGCCUCCCUGCAGCCUCCUGGGAGUGAAAAUGGGCCUUAGGGUGGCCGUAUCGCACACCCCGCCCUGUUUUGGGCCUAGUAGGCCUCCCUGCAGCCUCCUGGGAGUGAAAAUGGG